ACUGUUGGCGACACUGGCAGCACUGUAGGUAUCGAUAACGAAUAGGAUCCGUGGGAUAUAGGCAUCGGUCACGGACGUCAUCGGCAUCGGUCACGGACGUCAACGAUCGUGCAAUGACUGACAGACAAAACGUCAAGGCAGAGUGGAGAGAUGAAAAUUGUUUAUUCUUUCCCAUGUGAUGAGUAAAGCACCUGUUUGCUAAUCUAUGUACAUAAAUAACUUGCCGAUAUUAAUACCUUUUCGAUACUUAAUAGUUACGCGUAGCAGCCUGCAUUGAAGUGCUUGAACUAUAAACUGUAGGUUUAUGAAAUUUCAUGCAUUGUGUGAUCCUUAAAAUGAAUUUCUUUAGUACAGGCUAAGUGUAACCACGAAGGUUCGGACAGAAUUCUAACCCCUCUAAUUCUGUUAUCAUUAGUAAUAUAGAGUAAACCGGUCAUCACCUUACUGAAGACGGUAUUGAAUAUUUGUUGGGCUAGAUUGGAAUUAAAAGGACCAGUUUCUUUAAGAAUUCAGCACAGUAACCCCUGGUGCGAUUCUAUAUCGAAGUCCGAAGCUUCUACCCAACACAUAC